UACAGAGGUCCCAAGCGUUGUUCGGAUUCAUUGGGCGUAAAGGGUGCGUAGGCGGUUUUUUAAGUUUGAUGUGAAAUCCCGGGGCUCAACCCUGGAAUUGCAUUGAAUACUGAAGAACUAGAGUACUGGAGAGGAAACUGGAAUUUACGGUGUAGCAGUGAAAUGCGUAGAGAUCGUAAGGAAGACCAGUGGCGAAGGCGAGUUUCUGGACAGUAACUGACGCUGAGGCACGAAGGCCAGGGGAGCAAACGGG
rnacentral:rRNA from 1 species